rnacentral:lncRNA from 12 species
UCGGGCGGGCGGGCGUUCGGGCGGGAAGGGAGCGCGGCGCGGAGCCUCGGGGAGCGGAGCCGGAGGAGGCCGGGCGAGGAAGGCGACCUCAGACCGCGACGCCGGCCCAGGGCUGGGCCCGCCUUGUGCUCUCGGAGGCUGUGCUGCCUCACAGGAGGGACGCGCGGCGCGUUUCAGUGUAAACCGAAUCACACCGACCGUUUGCAGUCCCCAUUUGCAAACCAGACUCUGCCCCAGAUCAUGCUACCCUGAUCUUAGUGAGGAGAUGUGGGGAGAGAGAAGACCCUGCCUGCCUGCCUGCCUGCCUGGAGCUCUUCAGGCCUGAUGCCAGCGUCCGCCCCACGCAGGGAGAGGGCUCCACACACCAGAGCUGUGCAGCGCUCCAGCGACCCUGAGCUCCGAGGGCUGGAACCCACAGGGCCAGAUGCUGAAGCCGCUGCUAUGGCAGUGAAGACCUAGACCCUACAAAAUUAUUUUAAUAUUCUGCAGAUCUUGAAACUUAAGCCGGGCACAGUCAUCUGUACUCUCCUACAGCAGGUAUUUCUGAAACCCCGUUUAGUGUGGGUGUGUGUCUGUCCUCUGCCCUCUACCCCAGGCAAUGCCCUCCUGACAAUGUGGGAAACCACUGACAGCACUCCCUCUUUCAUUCCCUUUUUCACUUUACUUUUGUAUCUCAUUAGAAGUUCUGGCAUUUAGGGAUCCCUGGGUGGCUCAGCGGUUUAGCGCUUGCCUUCAGCCCAGGGCCUGAUCCUGGAGACCCGGGAUUAAGUCCCACGUCGGGCUCCCUGCAUGGAGCCUGCUGUGUCCCUCUGCCUGUGUCUCUGCCUCUCUUUUUCUGUGUGUGUGUCUCAUGAAUAAAUAAAAAAUCUUAAAAAAAAAAAAAAAAAGG